GCCUAGGGUAGAGGAGCUGUAAUUAAAAGUAUUUAUUCGGAGUCGGUAGGCUGAGAUGAAUAAAGAAAGGAAUUAUGGCCGAAGAAAGUAAAUUGACGAAUUUAUUUUCUGGCCUUGCAUAGAAUAUGUGCAAGGUUGUCGCGUAUUUAACGUGGAGAGCUACAAGGUAC
rnacentral:ncRNA from 2 species